GCAUAAUCACUUGUUUUUUAAUUGAAAACCAGAAUGAAGGGUUAAACGUUUUUAUUUCUUUAUUAUUAAUAAUUAUUUAAUUUUUACUAAAUAUCAAAAUAUAUUUAUUUAAAAAAUAGACGACAAGACCCUAUUGAACUUUACUCAAAGUUUAGCUGGGGCAGCUAAAUAAAUAAAAUUUUAUUUAAUAUUUAUUUUAAAAUUAAUUCCAAUACAAUUGAUUACUUAAACAAGUUACCAUAGGGAUAACAGCGUAAUAUUAUUUUAAAGUUCAUAUUAAAAAUAAAGAUUGCGACCUCGAUGUUGAAUUAUUUUUUCUAUUUGACGCAAUAGUCAAAUUAGUAAGUCUGUUCGACUUUUAAUAUUUUACA
rnacentral:rRNA from 1 species